ensembl:lncRNA WDFY3-AS2 WDFY3 antisense RNA 2
GCCCGAGGGAUGGAGGCCGCGCUCGGCUGCGCUCAGGUCCGGGUGGCUCCGGGAGCUGAGACCCCGCAGGAUGCAGCGGGGGGGGGCCAGGGCCUGAUCCCCUACCCCUGCGAGCCAGGGCCGCCUACGCCCCCACUGCUUCCCACAGAAGUUUCAGGAUUUCCUCUAAUAAACAUAAGGCUACUAGACGCAACAAUAGAAUUACCAUAUUGUUUUUCCUGGUUUGAAAGGACCAGAUGGAAAGAAACUGGGCAAGCCAAUGAAAGUCUCUGGGGAUCAUGGGAAUUGAGUGUCUAUGAAAACCAUAUUCCAGACAAGAAUAUAGUCUAAGGUUUAUGGGACUCCCCAGUACUCUCCAUGUAGAGUCUAAUGUAGAAUCCAGGAGUGCACAGAAAAGUCACUGGAUGACACAGCAAGAGGCAACAUUUUGGAAGCAGAGGGCAACUCUCACUGGAAACCAAAUCUCCUGGCACCUUGAUCUUGGAUUUUACAGCCUCCAGAACUGAUAGCUGGGAGGCAUUACAUAGUCAUGUGCGAGGUCAAAACUGAGUCACCACCACAACCAAGUUCCAGCUGGCAAGAAGAGGAAAAAUAACACAGAGGAGUUAUGACCAGUGUUGUAAGGAUCUGGCCUAGAAAUGGCAUGCAUCUCUUCCACUAAUAUCCUAUUGGUAAAAAUGUAGUCACAUGGGCACACCACCUAUCUGCAUGGAAGGCUGGGAAAUGUUGAUCGGUAGGGCAGCCAUAUGUGUAGGAAGGAGAAAACAGAAUUUGGUGGAUACCUAGUAGUCUCUGCCAUACCCUUGACCAGAAAUUUUUCUUCUAAAGAAUUUAAUUCUAAAAGUUAUAGACAUUCCCAAAGAUAUACCUGCAAGCAUCACAGCUUUGUGUAUAAUUGCAAAAGUUGAAAUCAACAUGAAUGCCCAAAAUAGUGAAUUAUUUAAACAGAUUAUUACCCAUAUUAUGAAGAAAUACUCUGCAACUCUUAAAAAUAAAUGUAAUGUGCCAGGCGCAAUGGGAUAUGCCUGCAGGCCCAGCUACACGGGAGGCCAAGGCAGGAGGAUCACUUGAAAUCAAGAGUUCAAGUCUAGCCUAGACAACAUAGUGAGACUUGGUCUCUAAAAAAGAAAAAAAAAAAUAAAACUGAUGUAAUGAAUAUAUAAUUACAACAAAAGAGGUCUAACACUAUAGUAGAAAAGUUUGGGGCACUCAUCCCAUUCAUAAUUAUUUUACAUUUAAAUUACUGUUCCUACUUAAGUGGUGAGCUUGGUAACCAUUUUCAUAUCAGGUGAUACUGCUGCAGUAAUCAUAGCUGUUUGAAUCAGGAAUAAUCCCAAUCACAUUUUCUCUUAAUCGUUUAUUAUACUGGGCAUUGGGGUUGCAAGAUAAUGCACAGUCCGAGCUCAAUACAUGUCUUCAUGUACCUGUAUGUAAAUCCCACUUUUAUUCUAAAAUUCUUUGAAUAUUUUGUUUCUUGGAACCCAAUGAUCCUAAGAAAAUUAUGUACUUUUACCUGAAAAUUAAAACCAAUAUUUAUAAAAAGUGUAUAUGCAGUAUGAUACCACUUUUAAAAAAAGAUAAAUUUAUAGAAAAAAGUUUAUAUGACUGACAACAAUGUCUCUGAGUGGUAGGAUUACAGUUAAUUUUUAUUUUCUUCAUUCUACUUAUCUUUAUUUUCUGAACUUUCUACAAUGAACAUGUUUUAUUUUUACUUUUGUUAAAAUAAAUAACAUUUAAUUUGACGGAAAAUUCUAAAAAUCAACAUUUGGUAACUUAAAUAUUCAUUGGCACAUGAUUCUGUGCCUGUUUCUGGGGGUCAUUCCCAUGAGAAGAGCAGGUAGAACUUAUGAGAAUAGAGCAGUCGAAAUAUUAUAGGUUUCAUAUUUUACGGCUUUAUUGAAAACAUUGAUAUAUUGAAUAUUCAUAAAUUUUAAUUUAACUUUCUUUUAUAAUCCUUAAUGUGAGGCUAAGGUAUAAGGAGAAAGGAGAUUGGUAAGGAAGUGUGAUACAUAUUGAAUCAGGUGUCAAGGUACCAUUUGUGCCUGGAUCUGACCAAUAGACCAAGGUAAAAAUCUCAAAGAAUGAGACUUGUAAUGAGAAUGCCACAAACUUGAAUACCUUAUGCACAAAACACAAACAUUGUUAUGCAUAAUGUACAUGAACCCUGAAACAAAGAUAAUGAUUUGGACCACCCAACUGAAGUGGCAUGUUAUGUUUUUGGCAUGAACAAAAGAAACAAGAGAGAAAAAAAUCAAAAUAAUUAAAAUAAAUUGUUAGAGAAAAGUUACUUUAAAAAUAGCUAUAACGCUUUGCAAUUUCAGUAACAGUUCUGCCUCUGAUGCAAUGUAAAACAUGUAUUAGACAUUCAGGCUCCACAAUAAAUUUUAAUGAGCACUACAAAUUUAGAAUAUAUAAAAAUAUCAGUAACCUAUGAAUUCAUCAACAUAACUCACUUUUCAGUUAAGUUAGGCUGAGUUGAAAUUCUACUAAGUUUUCCCAUAUUCUUGAUAAAGGCUAAAUUUGAAAUAAUUUAUUUAGAUGACUAAUUGGCAAUUUGAUAGUAGUUACAUUUUAUGUAACACUUGAUAUAAUAACCCAAAUUAAUUAGCUCAAUAUUAUCUUCUGUGGUUUAUUGAUCCAAAAGUACAUAUUUGUUAUGUAAACUUAUACUAUGUAAACUUGAAUUAGUUUUUUGCUUCCUUGAAUUAAUAAAGCCCAUUAAUGCAAAUCUAAGCCUUCAUAGACUUUUCCAAUCCUUAGUUAAAUAUUAAAAACUGAGUAUUGUAGUUAUUUGCUAGGUAUAAAAGGUGACUCAGAGUAGAGAGUAAGAUGUCAGCAAAUAGACAAUAAGAUGUCAGCAAAAGUGCCUCAAAUUUUAACUGCGUCAAGUUAAGGGCAUUGUAAAUACUGUAGUUUUAUGUAGCUUGCAACUUCUACUGAAAUGAGUUUAAUCAUGUCUUUCACAUAGCUGAAGUUUGUGUCA